GAUGAACGCUGGCGGCGUGCUUAACACAUGCAAGUCGAACGGAAAGGCUCCUGCUUGCAGGGGUACUCGAGUGGCGAACGGGUGAGUAACACGUGGGUGAUCUGCCCUGCACUUCGGGAUAAGCCUGGGAAACUGGGUCUAAUACCGGAUAGGACGAUGGUUUGGAUGCCAUUGUGGAAAGUUUUUCGGUGUGGGAUGAGCUCGCGGCCUAUCAGCUUGUUGGUGGGGUAAUGGCCUACCAAGGCGUCGACGGGUAGCCGGCCUGAGAGGGUGUACGGCCACAUUGGGACUGAGAUACGGCCCAGACUCCUACGGGAGGCAGCAGUGGGGAAUAUUGCACAAUGGGCGCAAGCCUGAUGCAGCGGCGCCGCGUGGGGGAUGACGGCCUUCGGGUUGUAAACUCCUUUCGCUAGGGACGAAGCGUUUUGUGACGGUACCUGGAGAAGAAGCACCGGCUAACUACGUG
rnacentral:rRNA from 1 species